rnacentral:rRNA from 1 species
UACGUAUGGUGCAAGCGUUAUCCGGAUUUACUGGGUGUAAAGGGAGCGCAGGUGGCAUGGCAAGCCAGAAGUGAAAGCCCGGGGCUUAACCGCGGGACUGCUUUUGGAACUGUUGUGCUGGAGUGCAGGAGGGGUAAGCGGAAUUCCUAGUGUAGCGGUGAAAUGCGUAGAUAUUAGGAAGAACACCGGUGGCGAAGGCGGCUUACUGGACUGUAACUGACACUGAGGCUCGAAAGCGUGGGGAGCAA